GCGCCGGUGGCUCAGUUGCCAGAGCAGUGGGUUGGUAACCCACAGUCCCAGGUUUAAGCCCCAGCCGAUGCU